CCUUAGAGUUUGAUCCUGGCUCAGGACGAACGCUGGCGGCGUGCUUAACACAUGCAAGUCGAACGAGACGAUUGAAAGCUUGCUUUUGAGAGUCGAGUGGCAAACGGGUGAGUAACGCGUAGACAACCUGCCGUAAAGAUGGGGACAACAGUUCGAAAGGACUGCUAAUACCGAAUGUUGUAGAGUUUCCGCAUGGGGAUCCUACUAAAGGUGGCCUCUACUUGUAAGCUAUCGCUUUACGAUGGGUCUGCGUCUGAUUAGCUAGUUGGUGGGGUAACGGCCUACCAAGGCGACGAUCAGUAGCCGGUCUGAGAGGAUGAACGGCCACAUUGGAACUGAGACACGGUCCAGACUCCUACGGGAGGCAGCAGUGGGGAAUCUUCCGCAAUGGGCGCAAGCCUGACGGAGCAACGCCGCGUGAGUGAAGAAGGGUUUCGACUCGUAAAGCUCUGUUGUCGGGGACGAAUGUCAGGACUCAAAAUAUGGGUUCUGAAUGACGGUACCUGACGAGGAAGCCACGGCUAACUACGUGCCAGCAGCCGCGGUAAUACGUAGGUGGCGAGCGUUGUCCGGAAUUAUUGGGCGUAAAGGGAGCGCAGGCGGGAAGGUAAGUCUAUCUUAAAAGUGCGGGGCUCAACCCCGUGAGGGGAUGGAAACUAUCUCUCUUGAGUGCAGGAGAGGAAAGCGGAAUUCCUAGUGUAGCGGUGAAAUGCGUAGAUAUUAGGAGGAACACCAGUGGCGAAGGCGGCUUUCUGGACUGUAACUGACGCUGAGGCUCGAAAGCGUGGGGAGCGAACAGGAUUAGAUACCCUGGUAGUCCACGCCGUAAACGAUGAAUGCUAGGUGUAGGAGGUAUCGACCCCUCCUGUGCCGGAGUUAACGCAAUAAGCAUUCCGCCUGGGGAGUAC
rnacentral:rRNA from 1 species